UAGGGAAUAUUGGGCAAUGGAGGCAACUCUGACCCAGCCAUGCCGCGUGUAGGAAGAAUGCCCUCUGGGUUGUAAACUACUUUUAUACGGGAAGAAAAAAUACUACGUGUAGUAUACUGACGGUACCGUAAGAAUAAGGAUCGGCUAACUCCGUGCCAGCAGCCGCGGUAAUACGGAGGAUUCGAGCGUUGUCCGGAUUUAUUGGGUUUAAAGGGUGCGUAGGCGGAUUUUUAAGUCAGUGGUGAAAGCCUGCAGCUCAACUGUAGAAUUGCCAUUGAAACUGAAAAUCUUGAAUUUGGUUAAAGUAGGCGGAAUGUAUCAUGUAGCGGUGAAAUGCUUAGAUAUGAUACAGAACACCGAUAGCGAAGGCAGCUUGCUGAACCAAUAUUGACGCUGAGGCACGAAAGCGUGGGGAGCAAACAGG
rnacentral:rRNA from 1 species